GACGGAGGGAGCAAGCGUUGCUCGGAAUUAUUGGGCGUAAAGGGUGCGUAGGUGGUUUUUUAAGUGAAAUGUUAGAGAUUCGGGCUCAACCUGAAAAAUGCGUUUCAUACUGAAAAACUUGAGUACGGGAGAGGAAACAGGAAUUCUUCAAGUAGAGGUGAAAUUCGUAGAUAUGAAGAGGAACUCCAGAGGCGAAGGCGAGUUUCUGGAACGUAACUGACACUGAGGCACGAAAGCGUGGGGAGCAAACAGG
rnacentral:rRNA from 1 species